rnacentral:rRNA from 1 species
UACGUAGGGUGCGAGCGUUGUCCGGAAUUAUUGGGCGUAAAGAGCUCGUAGGCGGUUUGUUGCGUCGGCCGUGAAAACUUGGGGCUUAACUCCGAGCUUGCGGUCGAUACGGGCAGACUUGAGUUCGGCAGGGGAGACUGGAAUUCCUGGUGUAGCGGUGAAAUGCGCAGAUAUCAGGAGGAACACCGGUGGCGAAGGCGGGUCUCUGGGCCGAUACUGACGCUGAGGAGCGAAAGCGUGGGGAG